GGGUGGGUGGGUGGAUGGACUGAUGGGUGGGUGGAUGGAUGGAUGGGUAAUGCAGACGGGUGGAUGGCUGGAUGGGUAAUGCAGACAGGUGGGUGGUUGGAUGGCUGGAUGAUGGCUGGAUGGGUAAUGCAGGUGGGUGGGUGGGUGGAUGGACUGAUGGGUGGGUGGCUGGAUGGGUAAUGCAGACGGGUGGGUGGCUGGAUGGGUAAUGCAGACGGGUGGGUGGUUGGAUGGCUGGAUGAUGGCUGGAUGGGUAAUGCAGGUGAGUGGGUGGUUGGAUGGACUGACGGGUGGGUGGAUGGAUGGAUGGGUAA